GUUAUUGAAUAUAAAGAAAAGACGAACAGCUCAGUAACUCUUAUUUUAUUUGAUGUAUUAGGAUUAUAACUAUGUUAAAUUAUAGAUAACAAUAAUACAAUAAGAAUAAGAUCUAUCAGUUAGUUGUUAAGGUAAUGGCUUAACAAGACUAUGACGGAUAACGGUAUUACUUUGUAAUAUUCCGGAGAAGGAGCCUGAGAGAUUGCUACUAAGUCUAAGGAUUGCAGCAGGGGCGAAACUUGACCUAUGAUAUGAUAUUGAGGCAGUUAUGAGUAGUAUUUUUAAUUAUUGUAGUAUUGUAAGUAUAUACUACAAGAUAAAUCGGAGGGCAAAUCGAGUGCCAGCAGCCGCGGUAAUACUUGUUCCGAUAGUGUGUAUGAUGAUUGAUGCAGUUAAAAAGUCUGUAGUUUAUGAUUAAUAAGCAUUGUGAGGUAUAUUGUAUGGUUAGGAGAGAGAUGAAAUGUGAUAACCCUAACUGGAUGAACAGAAGCGAAAGCUAUAUACUUAAAUGUAUUAUUAGAACAAGGACGUAAGCUAGAGGAUCGAAGAUGAUUAGAUACCAUUGUAGUUCUAGCAGUAAACUAUGUUAAAUCAUAGAUACAUUUUAAUAUGUAUUUAUGUAAAGAAAUUAAGAUUAUAUUGACUCUGGGGAUAGUAUGAUCGCAAGAUUGAAAAUUAAAGAAAUUGACGGAAGAAUACCACAAGGAGUGGAUUGUGCGGCU
rnacentral:rRNA from 1 species